rnacentral:tRNA from 1 species
GUGAAUGUAGCUUACAAUAGAGCGUCGGUCUUGUAAGUCGAAGGUUGGGUGCUACCCCCAUUCACC